rnacentral:misc_RNA from 1 species
UGUUGACCUGCACUCAUUAGCCCAAUGU